rnacentral:Y_RNA from 1 species
GGCUGGUCCGAUGGUAGUGGGUUAUCAGAACUUAUUAACAUUAGUGUCACUAAAGUUGAUAUACAACCUGCCCACUGCUAAAUUUGACUGGCUUUUU